rnacentral:rRNA from 1 species
UUCUAUAGCCAUACCACCCUGAAUGUGCCCAAUCUCAUCUGAUCUCGGAAGCUAAGCAGGGACAGGCCUGGUUAGUACUUGGAUGGGAGACACAGAAAAAGCAUUAGACA